GAUGAACGCUGGCGGCGGGCCUAAUACAUGCAAGUCGAGCGAACGGACGAGAAGCUUGCUUCUCUGAUGUUAGCGGCGGACGGGUGAGUAAGACAUGGAUAAGCUACCUAUAAGACGGGGAGAACUUCGGGAAACCGGAGCUAAUACCGGAUAAUAUUUUGAACCGCAGGAUUCAAAAGUGAAAGACGGUCUUGCUGUCACUUAUAGAUGGAGCCGCGCUGCAUUAGCUAGUUGGUAAGGUAACGGCUUACCAAGGCAACGAUGCAUAGCCGAGCUGAGAGGGUGAUCGGCCACACUGGAACUGAGACACGGUCCAGACUCCUACGGGAGGCAGCAGUAGGGAAUCUUCCGCAAUGGGCGAAAGCCUGACGGAGCAACGCCGCGUGAGUGAUGAAGGUCUUCGGAUCGUAAAACUCUGUUAUUAGGGAAGAACAUAUGUGUAAGUAACUGUGCACAUCUUGACGGUACCUAAUCAGAAAGCCACGGCUAACUACGUG
rnacentral:rRNA from 1 species